rnacentral:misc_RNA from 1 species
GAUGAAGAACGCAGCGAAAUGCGAUAAGUAAUGUGAAUUGCAGAAUUCAGUGAAUCGUCGAAUCUUUGAACGCACAUUGCGCCCGCCAGUAUUCUGGCGGGCAUGCCUGUUCGAGCGUCAUUUCAACCAUCAAGCCCCCGGCUUGUGUUGGGGACCUGCGGCUGCCGCAGGCCCUGAAAAGCAGUGGCGGGCUCGCUGUCACACCGAGCGUAGUAGCAUACAUCUCGCUCUGGGCGUGCUGCGGGUUCCGGCCGUUAAACCACCUUCAUAACCCAAGGUUGACCUCGGAUCAGGUAGGAAGACCCGCUGAACUUAAGCAUAUCAAUAAGCGGAGGA